CAUGUCUAAUUGUAUUCUAGUCAUACCUAGUAAACAUAGAGUUAAGUUGACAUAAAUGAAAGCUGAAGUUACUGAAUAUAGACACUGAAAAGGAUAUGAUGUAUUUCUGCAUCAGAGCUUCAAGACUGGACAUGAGAAUGCAAGCCACAGGAAACUGGACAAAAGGGUCAUCUCACAUCUUUACUUUGAUGGCCUGGCACCAUAGAGAUAACCCAUCACUUGACAAUGCUUCAUUAUCACCCGCACUCUCUGGUGAAAUCUCCUGCUCAUCGCUUAUCAAACAUUUCCUGCUUCUGACAGCUCCCUGCCUCAUUCCUCAGAGCCUCCUGUCUACAACCUCCAACAUUCCUCUGCCACAUGCACUGCCUCAUUCACCUAUAUAA